rnacentral:rRNA from 1 species
GUUUCAGCCGCCGCGGUAAUACGAAGGGGGCUAGCGUUGCUCGGAAUUACUGGGCGUAAAGGGAGCGUAGGCGGACAUUUAAGUCAGGGGUGAAAUCCCAGAGCUCAACUCUGGAACUGCCUUUGAUACUGGGUGUCUUGAGUGUGAGAGAGGUAUGUGGAACUCCGAGUGUAGAGGUGAAAUUCGUAGAUAUUCGGAAGAACACCAGUGGCGAAGGCGACAUACUGGCUCAUUACUGACGCUGAGGCUCGAAAGCGUGGGGAGCAAACAGGAUUAGAUACCCUGGUAGUCCACGCCGUAAACGUUGGGCACUAGGUGUGGGGGACAUUCCACGUUUUCCGCGCCGUAGCUAACGCAUUAAGUGCCCCGCCUGGGGAGUACGAUCGCAAGAUUAAAACUCAAAGGAAUUGACGGGGCCCCGCACAAGCAGCGGAGCAUGCGGCUUAAUUCGACGCAACGCGAAGAACCUUACCAAGGCUUGACAUAUACCGGAAUAUGGCAGAAAUGUCAUAGCUGUAAAAGGUCGGUAUACAGGUGGUGCAUGGUUGUCGUCAGCUCGUGUCGUGAGAUGUUGGGUUAAGUCCCGCAACGAGCGCAACCCUCGUUCUGUGUUGCCAGCAUUUAGUUGGGGACUCACAGGAGACUGCCGGGGUCAACUCGGAGGAAGGUGGGGAUGACGUCAAAUCAUCAUGCCCCUUAUGUCUUGGGCUGCACGCAUGCUACAAUGGCUGGUACAAAGGGCUGCGAUACCGCAAGGUGGAGCGAAUCCCAAAAAGCCAGUCUCAGUUCGGAUUGGGGUCUGCAACUCGACCCCAUGAAGUCGGAGUUGCUAGUAAUCGCAGAUCAGCAACGCUGCGGUGAAUACGUUCCCGGGGCUUGUACACACCGCCCGUCAAAC